rnacentral:rRNA from 1 species
CCGGUUGAUCCUGCCGGAGGCUACCGCUAUUGGAGUUCGAUUAAGCCAUGCGAGUCGAGAGUCUUAGGGACUCGGCGUACCGCUCAGUAACACGUGGGUAACCUGCCCUAUGCUGGGGAAUAACCUCGGGAAACUGAGAAUAAUGCCCCAUAGUUCACUACGCCUGGAACGGUGAGUGGAUGAAAGCUCCGGCGGCAUAGGAUGGGCCUGCGGCGUAUCAGGUCGUAGGGGGUGUAACGUACCCUCUAGCCAUCGACGCGUACGGGUGUUGGGAGACAUAGCCCGGAGAUGGAUUCUGAGACACGAAUCCAGACCCUACGGGGUGCAGCAGGCGCGAAAACUUGGCAAUGCGAGAAAUCGUGACCAGGGAACUCCAAGUGGCUGGGGUAAGACCCAGUCUUUUCUUGACUCUUCAAAGGUCUUGGAAUAAGAGGUGGGUAAGGACGGUGCCAGCCGCCGCGGUAAUACCGGCGCCUCAAGUGGUAGUCGAUUUUAUUGGGCCUAAAACGUCCGUAGCCUGUUUGGUACAUUCGUGGGUAAAUCAACCAGCUCAACUGGUUGAAUUCUGCGAGCACGGCCAGACUUGGGACCGGGAGAGGUGUGGGGUACGCUCAGGGUAGGGGUAAAAUCCUGUCAUCCUGAGCGGACCACCUGUUGCGAAGGCGCCACACUAGAACGGAUCCGACGGUCAGGGACGAAGCCUAGGGGCACGAACCGGAUUAGAUACCCGGGUAGUCCUAGGUGUAAACGCUGUGGACUUGGUGUUGGGGAUUCUCCGAGGAUUCUCAGUGCCGAAGCGAAGGUGAUAAGUCCACUGCCUGGGGAGUACGGUCGCAAGGCUGAAACUUAAAGGAAUUGGCGGGGGAGCACCGCAACCUGAGGAUUGUGCGGUUUAAUUGGAUCAACGCCGG